rnacentral:rRNA from 1 species
UACGGAAGGGGCAAGCGUUGUUCGGAAUCACUGGGCGUAAAGGGUGCGUAGGCGGGUCUUUAAGUCAGGGGGGAAAUCCUGGAGCUCAACUCCAGAACUGCCUUUGAUACUGAAGAUCUUGAGUUCGGGAGAGGUGAGUGGAACUGCGAGUGUAGAGGUGAAAUUCGUAGAUAUUCGCAAGAACACCAGUGGCGAAGGCGGCUCACUGGCCCGAUACUGACGCUGAGGCACGAAAGCGUGGGGAGCAAACAGG